rnacentral:rRNA from 1 species
GACGAACGCUGGCGGCGUGCUUAACACAUGCAAGUCGAACGGAAAGGCCCUGCUUUUGUGGGGUGCUCGAGUGGCGAACGGGUGAGUAACACGUGAGUAACCUGCCCUUGACUUUGGGAUAACUUCAGGAAACUGGGGCUAAUACCGGAUAGGAGCUCCUGCUGCAUGGUGGGGGUUGGAAAGUUUCGGCGGUUGGGGAUGGACGCGCGGCUUAUCAGCUUGUUGGUGGGGUAGUGGCUUACCAAGGCUUUGACGGGUAGCCGGCCUGAGAGGGUGACCGGCCACAUUGGGACUGGGAGACGGACCAGACUCCUACGGGAGGCAGCAGUGGGGAAUAUUGCACAAUGGGCGGAAGCCUGAUGCAGAAACGCCGCGUGCGGGAUGACGGCCUUCGGGUUGUAAACCGCUUUCGCCUGUGACGAAGCGUGAGUGACGGUAAUGGGUAAAGAAGCACCGGCUAACUACGUG